UUGAGGAACAGCUCUACAGGUUUGAAUCCGUUGAUGAACAGCUCCAGAGCUCCGAAUCAGUUGAGGAACAAUUCAGUAGCUCGAAUCAAAAACCUUUCAGACCUCUUUUUUUCAGUACAUAACACAGAUCCAACCAUACUACAUUCAUCAUACAGUGGUACCACAUUUUAACAAGCAAACUUUCAUACAACGAGAGAUGUGUUUUCUCUUCGUUUAUACACAUACAGGCGCACAUCUUCCAGCGCAUACAUACUUAGAGUCAACUUUAAUUCCCAUUUCAGUGAUUCGAAUAUCUUUGGCAGUGAACUGGUGACAAACAGCUCCAAUGUCUGGAUAGUUUAAUUGCGUUGGAUAUACACACCUGCGUAACUAACCUUAGGAAAAGAGUUUUUAGACAAUAAGAAGUGUUUGUAGACGGAAAAGUGUUUAGAAACGAAUUGUUUUUUGAUGAAAAGUGUUUAUAAACAAAAAAGUGUUUAUAGACGAAGAGUUUGUAGAGAACAAGUAUUAGUAGACAAUGUGACUGUAGACGGAAAUUUUUUUUGUAGACAAUGAGUGUGUGAAGAAGAGUGUUUGAAGAUGGAUAAAAUAUUUGUAGAUGAAAAGUUUUUAUAGAGGAAAAGUGAUUGUAAAUAUUUUUGUAAACAUUUUGUAAAUUUUGUAAAUAUUUUUCCAAUAAUAGUGUUCGUAUACAGUGUUCGUAUUCGAAAAGUAUUUCUAGUCGAUAAGUAUUAUUAGAUGAAAAGCUUUGGGUGCGGCACCACCUGGAUCCCAACGCCACCUGGAACCCCCCACCACCAACUGAACCCUAGCGUCACCUCAGCACUACUAGGGGCAACAGCACCAUCUGGCAUCAUUUAUCAUCAUGGGAAGGUAAAUGAAGGUUGACAACGCGUCGAGAGAUACCGGGUCACCUCAUGGAAAAGACCCGGGGGGGGCGGGACUAACCACUCCGAACUCGAGCCCGAGAGACAACGCACCACCAAUAAGAAACGUUUCUCAUAACACACAACAUCUUUUGAUAGCGUCUCGUCUUGGAGGAUAGAAGAUGUGUACUCAUCGCCUGCAAUCUCUGAUGAAAGGGCAAGAAUACAGAAUCUUAGAAAACACGCGUUCCAGAAAAGAGCAUUCUUCCAGGAAUUCACUGCUACAGAAACGAUGAGCACGUAGGAAGAAGUCUGUGAUGACGCCACGUUUAGUCUUGGUAACAUGGUGUGAAUGAAAGUGGAGAAGAUAGUGUUGGUUGAAGGGUUUGCGGAAGACUAUACAACAAAGCGUUGGGGAAGAAGACAUC